AUUUAGUUUAAACCACGACAGUCUGUCAUGAAACAAUAGUGGUUUUUAAUUGUUCAUCUUCUUAUGUAUUCAUUUUUUUGGUACAUAUCUGAAUCUGAUGAGUCACUUUCAUCAUCAGCAGAAGAGCUUUGCCACUCAUGAGAGUUGUUAUGACAGUGGGGUUUCUGCACACUUUCUGUGUCAUCCAGAAGUUUUGCUUCAACAGCAAGAGUACACUGCCAAUCAGAUGCAUCUUCUUGGGAAGAAAGAAGAGCUGCAGAACUAUCCACAUUCUCUUCAGAGGUUCCCAACAGCACAGUUUUUAAGUUAAUGCUCCUGCUCUUCAACAUCUUCUGGGUCAGUGUCUGAAUUUUCACUUGCCUGGCUGCUGCUGUCAUCACACAUGCUAUUUGUAGAGUACUGCACAGAUGCAUCUGGGAAUAAUCGCUUGAGCCAGCACUCUACGUUUUAUUUCAAGUAAGGACACAGGACAAUUAGUAUUCCUCUUCUAGGCCUACUACUAUUCAGUAAAAUGAACCUGAGGUUAUAAUGGCCAUUCUCUUUGUUUCCUUCUAAGUAUCUUCUGUUCAUAUAUUCACAUAUUUGCUUCUGUGAAUCUGCUAACCA